rnacentral:lncRNA from 1 species
CAGAGAUUAGGCUUUUGGAAAGAGUUUGACAUCGGCAAAACCUCGUCCUGGUAAAGUUGUCAGUCAGACUACUGUCAUCACCACUAUAGAUGGCAAGCAAAUCAAACAAUACCUGGAUAAAGCCAUCUAGUUUAUCCCCUGAAAGUUAGCUUGUUAGCUAGCCAUAUUGACGUGAUCUGUUAUUAGCUAGCUAGCCAAUUUGACAUGAUCCAUCAAUCAAUGUAGCCUAUCAUGUCUGUCAGCCACAAUCAUGUUUGAACACUUAAAAACAAUGUUCCAUCAAUUCAUCACAUGUUUAUUUGUCACAUGUGCCGAAUACAGCAGGUGUAGACCUUACCGUGAAAUGGUAACUUACAAGCCCUUAACCAACAAUGCAGUUUCAAGAAAAAUAAGAGUUAAGAAAAUAUUUACUAAAUAAACUAAAGAGUCAAUGUGCGGGGGUACAGGUUAGUCGAGGUAAUUGAGGUAAUAUAUACAGGGGUACCGGUACAGAGUCAAUGUGCGGGGUUACAGGUUCGUCGAGGUAAUUGAGGUAAUAUAUACAGUGGGUACCGGUACAGAGUCAAUGUGCGGGGGUACAGGUUAGUCGAGGUAAUUGAGGAAUUAUAUACAGGGGGUACCGGUACAGAGUCAAUGUGCGGGGGUAUAGGUUAGUUGAGGUAAUUGAGGUAAUAUAUACAGGGGGUACCGGUACAGAGUCAAUGUGCGGGGGUACAGGUUAGUCGAGGUAAUUGAGGUAAUAUAUACAGGGGGUACCGGUACAGAGUCAAUGUGCGGGGGUACAGGUUCGUCGAGGUAAUUGAGGUAAUAUAUACAGGGGGUACCGGUACAGAGUCAAUGUGCGGGGGUACAGGUUCGUCGAGGUAAUUGAGGUAAUAUAUACAGGGGGUACCGGUACAGAGUCAGAGUCAAUGUGCGGUGGUACAGGUUAGUCGAGGUAAUUGAGGUAAUAUAUACAGGGGUACCGGUACAGAGUCAAUGUGUGGGGGUACAGGUUAGUUGAGGUAAUUGAGGUAAUAUGUACACUACCAUUCAAAAGUUUGGGGUCACUUAGAAAUGUCCUUGUUUUCCAUGAAAACAUACAUGAAAUGAGUUGCAAAAUGAAUAGGAAAUAUAGUCAAGAC